UGGAAGUAAAAAGUCGUAACAAGGUUUCCGUAGGUGAACCUGCGGAAGGAUCAUUACCGAGUGAGGGCCCUCUGGGUCCAACCUCCCACCCGUGUUUAUUUUACCUUGUUGCUUCGGCGGGCCCGCCUUAACUGGCCGCCGGGGGGCUCACGCCCCCGGGCCCGCGCCCGCCGAAGACACCCUCGAACUCUGUCUGAAGAUUGAAGUCUGAGUGAAAAUAUAAAUUAUUUAAAACUUUCAACAACGGAUCUCUUGGUUCCGGCAUCGAUGAAGAACGCAGCGAAAUGCGAUACGUAAUGUGAAUUGCAAAUUCAGUGAAUCAUCGAGUCUUUGAACGCACAUUGCGCCCCCUGGUAUUCCGGGGGGCAUGCCUGUCCGAGCGUCAUUGCUGCCCUCAAGCCCGGCUUGUGUGUUGGGCCCCGUCCUCCGAUUUCCGGGGGACGGGCCCGAAAGGCAGCGGCGGCACCGCGUCCGGUCCUCGAGCGUAUGGGGCUUUGUCACCCGCUCUGUAGGCCCGGCCGGCGCUUGCCGAUCAACCCAAAUUUUUAUCCAGGUUGACCUCGGAUCAGGUAGGGAUACCCGCUGAACUUAAGCAUAUCAAUAAGCGGAGGAA
rnacentral:rRNA from 1 species